GGUUAGUGAAAAAGAAACUUAAGAAAGAAAGAAGGAGAAUAAGAGAGGGAUGCAGGGCAUGGGUUUAUUAUAAAAUGCUAUAAUUGUUUUAUUGAAAGGAGUAAUAGGAAAGUGAGUAUUUAAUCUGGGUGGGUCACAUGGCAUAAAAUAAAGGGGUUUAAACCUUAAGAAGGGUGUUGUAUUAGGUACAGGGGUGGGUUUUCAGGAUUCAAGGAGAUUAAAUUGAAAUGUUGACAUGUCUACUUGCAUUAUUAAUUAAAAGUAUUUUGUUGGAUUAUUAAUUGAAAAGUUUGGAGCAGAGGAUAAUUGUUGGUGUUCAAAAUUCUUGAACCAAGAAUAAUAGUAAAAAGAGAUUAAUUAAGAGUGAGUUGGGUAUGUUUUAUUAUUUUUCCUGGUUAAGAGUAUAAGAUUUUAUUUAUAGUGGUGAUGAGUUACUUAGGAUGUGUUUACUUAGGGGUAAUUGGGGGAGAGUGAUUGAGUGGAUUUGAGGGGAUUUGAGGGUGUUUUUUUGUGUUUAUUUGAGUGGAUUUGGAGGUAAUUGAGAGUGAAUUUAGGGGUGAAGUUUGUGAGAAUUAGUGUAGGAUUUGAUUGAUAUGACAGUAUUAAAAUUUUUUUUUAAUUGGUAGAAAUUAAAGAUUACCAAAAUGCCCCUAGGUAUUAAAAUAAUAUAAAAUGAUAUUUGUUAAUGUUAGAUUUAAUUGUAAAAAUGUUUAUUAAGAGUUAAAAAAUAUGGAAUAAUUAUUAAAAAUAAUUUAAAUAAUUUAAUU
rnacentral:lncRNA from 1 species